GUGAAGCUCACCAGAUGACCACACCCUGACCGUUGUCCAUCCAGUCCUCCCACACUACCCGAUGCAUUUAGCCAAUUUCCUGUUCAGAUGGCGAAGAACACUCUUAAGUCAACGGCACCCCUCCUCCCCCAAACACACACUCAUACACACAACAAUAAGACAAAACAUGCAAGAUGGAGCCUGGAUACUGGAAAGCAGCAUGACCAACUAUCCUAGUUUGUGUGGGAUUGAAGAAGUUCCUGAGACUUUCAGUUUUAAGAAGACCCAGAAGGCCAGCUUUGAAGAACACCUGGAGGAAAAGUGAAUCCCAUGUCAUCCCCAUAGUACAGAAGAUGCAGAAAUGGUGAAGGGAAUGGGUCAGGCCAUUUUGGAUUAACAGCACACUACCACGUAGAGAUUACUGUAAUGCAGUGUAUUCACCGAACACAGAAAGGAAGUCACCCUUGCCGUCUCAUGUCUGAGAUCAGUGGUUUCCUGACCUGUGGGGUCACAAGCCCCCAAGGAUCCUCAGGGUUGUUGCAGGGGACUCUUGAAUCCAUCUGCACAGCGAUAAUUGCCUCAAGUUUAAGCAAGCAACAUCAUCAAACAAACAGUGUUUUCUGUUAGAAAGUCUAAGUGACUAUAGCUUCCCAUUAAAUAUAAACUAAUUAAAAAUGUA